rnacentral:rRNA from 1 species
UACGAAGGGGGCUAGCGUUGCUCGGAAUCACUGGGCGUAAAGCGCACGUAGGCGGCUUUUUAAGUCAGGGGUGAAAUCCUGGAGCUCAACUCCAGAACUGCCUUUGAUACUGAGAAGCUUGAGUCCGGGAGAGGUGAGUGGAACUGCGAGUGUAGAGGUGAAAUUCGUAGAUAUUCGCAAGAACACCAGUGGCGAAGGCGGCUUACUGGUCCGGUACUGACGCUGAGGUGCGAAAGCGUGGGGAGCAAACAGG